rnacentral:rRNA from 1 species
UUUGGAUCCGUUUCCGUAGGGUGAACCUGCGGAGGGAUCAUUG